UGGGCUCAAAGAGUCCCAUGGCUUAAUAAUAAAAGCCCAACAGAUUAUACUGAUAAAUGGGCCCAAUCUAUCCGGCCCAAAAUAGGAGAAAUAUUAUGACCCAACAUUACCCCCUAGUUUUUUAGUUAAACAAGAUGUUUAAUGGAAAACUAUAUAUGAUUCAUGAUAUUUAGAAUUUAAUAAAGGCCCAAGGAUAGGAAAUAAGUGGAUCAUACCCACUUUUAACAUACGAAGUGGAAUAAGGGAGGACUGGAUAGUGGAUACCCAGAGCAAUAAGCCCAAUUUGAUAAAGGAUUUGAAUUUGAACGGGAUGGGCCAAUAAGAUAGAAAUCCAACAGUCAGGCCCAAUCUGAUAAGAUAUUCAAAGGUCAUCCAAACGCAUUCCACUUUAAUUCUCAUUAUUACUGACAUUAAAUGCGCCGGCCUCGCUCCACGUGUAACCGUCAGUAUAAAAGAUAAACCUCACCAAAAUUGACGGUUUUACCUACUGAUUUGAAAUUCGAACCUUUGAGCUUUCUUCCUUCUCUCAGAAAAACCUCUCUUUAGCUUUCGCAAACUCAACAAUGGUGAAUCCAAGCCAAACCCCUUCAAGUUCUUCUCGUUCAAACCCUAACCAAGGGGGUUCAAGUGCCAAUCCACCAUCUCCCACUGAUUUCUUCAAAGAUGGGGAACAAUUUCCUCAUGCUAACAUCGCCUCCACCGUCUCUGAAUCUGAACUGCGAGCUCUCCGGAUUCGAUAUCAUGUUCCGGAUAACUUUUCUAUGAGGGCACCAUCGGCUGAGGAGCGAAUGUACCAGCGACCAGACGGAUGGGUCGCCAUGCCGACUACUCUGCUAGAAAAGGGGAUUCGUCUACCCCUCCACGCCUUCAUAGUUACCCUCCUAGGGUUUAUUGGAGUAGGCUUCGCAUAACUGGUGCCCAACUCCUAUAUCCAUAUGCUGGCGUUCAU
rnacentral:lncRNA from 1 species